rnacentral:rRNA from 1 species
AAACUGAGAGAGUUUGAUCCCAGCUCAGGAUGAACGCUAGCGGUGCGCUUAACACAUGCAAGUCGUGCGAUCGAACCAGACGGAUUUCCCUUCGGGGUCUGAAGGCUGGUCACGGAGCGGCGAACUGGUGAGUAACACGUGGCUAACCUGCCCUCUUGACGGGGACAACCUACCGAAAGGGAGGCUAAUACCCGAUGUUGUGCGGAGUCUAUGGCUCCGCUCCAAAGACGGUCCUGCCGUCGCAAGGGGAGGGGGCUGCGUCCUAUUAGCUUGUUGGUAGGGUAAUGGCCUACCAAGGCGAUAAUGGGUAGCUGGUCUGAGAGGACGAUCAGCCACAUUGGGACUGAGAUACGGCCCAGACUCCUACGGGAGGCAGCAGUGGGGAAUAUUGGACAAUGGACGAAAGUCCGAUCCAGCGACACCGCGUGGGGGAUGAAGGCUUUCGGGUCGUAAACCCCUUUUCUGGGGGAAGAAUAAGGCUGGGAGGAAAUGCCCAUCCGAUGACGGUACUCCAGGAAUAAGCAUCGGCAAACUUCGUGCCAGCAGCCGCGGUAAGACGAAGGAUGCAAGCGUUAUCCGGAAUUACUGGGCGUAAAGGGCGUCUAGGCGGUUGGAUAAGUCAUUUGUGAAAUCCCAGGGCUUAACCCUGGAAGGUCUUGUGAUACUGUCCAGCUUGGGUGUAGGAGAGGAGAGCGGAACUCACAGAGUAGCGGUGGAAUGCGUAGAUACUGUGAGGUACCCCGAUGGCGAAGGCAGCUCUCUGGCCUAUUACCGACGCUGAAGCGUGAAAGCGUGGGGAGCAAAGGGGAUUAGAUACCCCCGUAGUCCACGCCCCAAACGAUGUUCACUUGGUGUCGGGAGCCUAUAUAUCUCGGUGCCGUAGCUAACGCGUUAAGUGAACCGCCUGAGGAGUACGGCCGCAAGGCUAAAACUCAAGAGAAUUGACGGGUCCCCGCACAAGCGGUGGAGCACGUGGUUUAAUUCGAUGAUAAGCGAAGAACCUCACCUGGGCUUGACAUACUAGUGGUAAGAACCGGAAACGGUGAUGACCCUGCCUUCGGGUAGGGAGCUAAUACAGGUGAUGCAUGGCUGUCGUCAGCUCGUGUCGUGGGAUGUAGGGUUAAGUCCCGAAACGAGCGCAACCCUUGUCACUAGUUGCCAGCGGAUAAUGCCGGGGACUCUAGUGAGACUGCUGGUGAAUAGCCGGAGGAAGGCGGGGAUGACGUCAAGUCAUCAUGUCCCUUAUGCCCAGGGCGACACACAUGCUACAAUGGGAGGUACAGAGGGUCGCGAAGCCGCAAGGUGAAGCCAAUCUCAUAAAGCCUCCCCCAGUUCGGAUUGUGGUCUGCAACUCGACCACAUGAAGUCGGAAUCGCUAGUAAUCGCGGGUCAGCCAUACCGCGGUGAAUAUGUACUCGGGGAUUGUACACACCGCCCGUCACACCAACCGAGUGGGGGGUACCUGAAGUCGCUCUUUUGAGGGCGCCUAAGGUAACCUUCGCAAGAGGGGUGAAGUCGUAACAAGGUAGCCGUAGGAGAACCUGCGGCUGGAUCACCUCCUUUCUA